GAUGAACGCUGGCGGCGUGCCUAAUACAUGCAAGUCGAGCGAACGGACGAGAAGCUUGCUUUUCUGAUGUUAGCGGCGGACGGGUGAGUAACACGUGGAUAACCUACCUAUAAGACUGGGAUAACUUCGGGAAACCGGAGCUAAUACCGGAUAAUAUUUUGAACCGCAUGGUUCAAAAGUGAAAGACGGUCUUUCUGUCACUUAUAGAUGGAUCCGCGCUGCAUUAGCUAGUUGGUAAGGUAGCGGCUUACCAAGGCAACGAUGCAUAGCCGACGUGAGGGGGUGAUCGGCCACCUUGGAACUGAGACACGGUCCAGACUCCUACGGGAGGCAGCAGUAGGGAAUCUUCCGCAAAGGGCGAAAGCCUGACGGAGCAACGCCGCGUGAGUGAUGAAGGUCUUCGGAUCGUAAAACUCUGUUAUUAGGGAAGAACAUAUGUGUAAGUAACUGUGCACAUCUUGACGGUACCUAAUCAGAAAGCCACGGCUAACUACGUG
rnacentral:rRNA from 1 species